UGACUNGAGUGCAGAAGGGGAGAGUGGAAUUCCAUGUGUAGCGGUGAAAUGCGUAGAUAUAUGGAGGAACACCAGUGGCGAAAGCGGCUCUCUGNUCUGUCACUGACGCUGAGGCUCGAAAGCGUGGGUAGCGAACAGGAUUAGAUACCCUGGUAGUNCACGCCGUAAACGAUGAGUGCUAGGUGUUAGGCCCUUUCCGGGGCUUAGUGCCGGAGCUAACGCAAUAAGCACUCCGCCUGGGGAGUACGACCGCAAGGUUGAAACUCAAAGGAAUUGACGGGGGCCCGCACAAGCGGUGGAGCAUGCGGUUUAAUUCGAAGCAACGCGAAGAACCUUACCAGGUCUUGACAUCCCGAUGCUAUUCUUAGAGAUAGGAAGUUACUUCGGUACAUCGGAGACAGGUGGUGCAUGGUUGUCGUCAGCUCGUGUCGUGAGAUGUUGGGUUAAGUCCCGCAACGAGCGCAACCCUUAUUGUUAGUAGCCAUCAUUAAGUUGGGCACUCUAGCGAGACUGCCGGUAAUAAACCGGAGGAAGGUGGGGAUGACGUCAAAUCAUCAUGCCCCUUAUGACCUGGGCUACACACGUGCUACAAUGGUCGGUACAACGAGUUGCGAGCCGGUGACGGCAAGCUAAUCUCUGAAAGCCGAUCUCAGUUCGGAUUGGAGGCUGCAACUCGCCUCCAUGAAGUCGGAAUCGCUAGUAAUCGCGGAUCAGCACGCCGCGGUGAAUACGUUCCCGGGCCUUGUACACACCGCCCGUCACACCACGAGAGUUUGUAACACCCGAAGUCGG
rnacentral:rRNA from 1 species